rnacentral:rRNA from 1 species
AGAGUUUGAUUCUGGCUCAGAACGAACGCUGGCGGCGUGGAUAAGACAUGCAAGUCGAACGAGAGAAUUGCUAGCUUGCUAAUAAUUCUCUAGUGGCGCACGGGUGAGUAACACGUGAGUAACCUGCCCCCGAGAGCGGGAUAGCCCUGGGAAACUGGGAUUAAUACCGCAUAGUAUCGAAAGAUUAAAGCAGCAAUGCGCUUGGGGAUGGGCUCGCGGCCUAUUAGUUAGUUGGUGAGGUAACGGCUCACCAAGGCGAUGACGGGUAGCCGGUCUGAGAGGAUGUCCGGCCACACUGGAACUGAGACACGGUCCAGACACCUACGGGUGGCAGCAGUCGAGAAUCAUUCACAAUGGGGGAAACCCUGAUGGUGCGACGCCGCGUGGGGGAAUGAAGGUCUUCGGAUUGUAAACCCCUGUCAUGUGGGAGCAAAUUAAAAAGAUAGUACCACAAGAGGAAGAGACGGCUAACUCUGUGCCAGCAGCCGCGGUAAUACAGAGGUCUCAAGCGUUGUUCGGAAUCACUGGGCGUAAAGCGUGCGUAGGCUGUUUCGUAAGUCGUGUGUGAAAGGCGCGGGCUCAACCCGCGGACGGCACAUGAUACUGCGAGACUAGAGUAAUGGAGGGGGAACCGGAAUUCUCGGUGUAGCAGUGAAAUGCGUAGAUAUCGAGAGGAACACUCGUGGCGAAGGCGGGUUCCUGGACAUUAACUGACGCUGAGGCACGAAGGCCAGGGGAGCGAAAGGGAUUAGAUACCCCUGUAGUCCUGGCAGUAAACGGUGCACGCUUGGUGUGCGGGGAAUCGACCCCCUGCGUGCCGGAGCUAACGCGUUAAGCGUGCCGCCUGGGGAGUACGGUCGCAAGAUUAAAACUCAAAGAAAUUGACGGGGACCCGCACAAGCGGUGGAGUAUGUGGCUUAAUUCGAUGCAACGCGAAGAACCUUACCUGGGCUUGACAUGUAAUGAACAACAUGUGAAAGCAUGCGACUCUUCGGAGGCGUUACACAGGUGCUGCAUGGCCGUCGUCAGCUCGUGUCGUGAGAUGUUUGGUUAAGUCCAGCAACGAGCGCAACCCCUGUUGCCAGUUACCAGCACGUGAAGGUGGGGACUCUGGCGAGACUGCCCAGAUCAACUGGGAGGAAGGUGGGGACGACGUCAGGUCAGUAUGGCCCUUAUGCCCAGGGCUGCACACGUACUACAAUGCCCAGUACAGAGGGGGCCGAAGCCGCGAGGCGGAGGAAAUCCUGAAAACUGGGCCCAGUUCGGACUGUAGGCUGCAACCCGCCUACACGAAGCCGGAAUCGCUAGUAAUGGCGCAUCAGCUACGGCGCCGUGAAUACGUUCCCGGGUCUUGUACACACCGCCCGUCACAUCAUGGAAGCCGGUCGCACCCGAAGUAUCUGAAGCCAACCGCAAGGAGGCAGGGUCCUAAGGUGAGACUGGUAACUGGGAUGAAGUCGUAACAAGGUAGCCGUAGGGGAACCUGCGGCU